rnacentral:rRNA from 1 species
CACGUAGGGUGCGAGCGUUGUCCGGAAUUAUUGGGCGUAAAGAGCUCGUAGGCGGUGUGUCGCGUCGGCCGUGAAAACCUGUGGCUUAACCAUGGGCUUGCGGUCGAUACGGGCAUCACUAGAGUUCGGCAGGGGAGACUGGAAUUCCUGGUGUAGCGGUGAAAUGCGCAGAUAUCAGGAGGAACACCGGUGGCGAAGGCGGGUCUCUGGGCCGAUACUGACGCUGAGGAGCGAAAGCGUGGGGAGCGAACAGG